AACGUUGGCGGCGUGGAUUAGGCAUGCAAGUCGAACGAGAACCGGUAGCAAUAUCGGGGAAAGUGGCGAAAGGGGCAGUAAUGCAUGGGUAACCUACCCUGGGGACGUGGAUAGCUAUUCUAACGAGUAGGUAAUACACGGCGAUCUGGCCGAGGGGCAUCCCUUGACCAGGAGAUGAAUUUCGCCUCAGGAGGGGCUCAUGUCGUAUUAGCUUGUUGGCGGGGUAACGGCCCACCAAGGCUGAGAUGCGUAGCGGGUGUGAGAGCACGACCCGCGCCACUGGCACUGAGACACUGGCCAGACACCUACGGGUGGCUGCAGUCGAGGAUCUUCGGCAAUGAGCGCAAGCUUGACCGAGCGACGCCGCGUGUGCGACGAAGGCCUUCGGGUUGUAAAGCACUGUCGAGGGGGAGGAAAGCCGAAAGGUCUGACCUAUCCCUGGAGGAAGCACGGGCUAAGUUCGUGCCAGCAGCCGCGGUAAGACGAACCGUGCAAACGUUGUUCGGAAUCACUGGGCUUAAAGGGCGCGUAGGCGGAUCAUCAAGUCAGGGGUGAAGUCCUCCAGCUCAACUGGAGAACGGCCUUUGAUACUGGUGGUCUCGAGUGAGGUAGGGGCAUGCGGAACUGAUGGUGGAGCGGUGAAAUGUGUUGAUAUCAUCAGGAACUCCGGUGGCGAAAGCGGCGUGCUGGACCUCUACUGACGCUGAGGCGCGAAAGCCAGGGGAGAGAACGGGAUUAGAUACCCCGGUAUUCCUGGCCCUAAACGAUGGGUACUAGGUUGUAGACUUGACAUGGGUUUACAGCCGAAGCAAAAGUGCUAAGUACCCCGCCUGGGGAGUAUGGUCGCAAGGCUGAAACUCAAAG
rnacentral:rRNA from 1 species